rnacentral:lncRNA from 1 species
GGGCAACAUAAGACACGCUGUUCAUUGCGUAUCUUUGCUUCCCAUGUACUUGACCAGCGGAACUCGCUAGUACGAUGGUUCUGCUCGUGUUUAUCAGACCGUAAUGGUACGAUCCUUGCGGGUUCGGUCUUGGUCCACUUGCCGUAAGGUUAGUCCUGAACAUUUCAUCCAAGUAUAUUUCAAAAAGUUAUUAUUAACACUACUCAAAUAACUAUACUACCAACUUAAAUAUUCAUAAUGUAAUUUACCAAAUAGGUAAAAAUUUUAAAAAUUAUCAAAAUAUUAAGUCCCGUAAAUGAGGGUUUUUGAUCAUGAUGGAGUUAUUUUGUUUGCUUUUUACUAAAAUGGGGUCCGUUUAAAAAAAAUUACAAAUUUAGGCAAGUCGUGCCAACACCACUUCAGUAUGACAGGACAGAAGUCGUGUCAAGUUGACACGACUUCAGUAUGACAAGGCAGAAGUCGUGCCAAGUUGGCACGACUUCAGUAUGAAGUGACAGAGUCGUAUCUAAUUAUUCCGUAGAUUUGUGCAUAUGAAGUCGUGUCAAUUGACACGACUUGCCUAAAUUUGUAAUUUUUUUUAACGGACCCCAUUGUAAAAUGUAAAAAAAAAAAAAUCCCAUAAUGGAAGUAAAACUUCAGUUCAAAUUUGAUUAGAAUAUCAUUUAAUAAUUUUUUGUUCAUAAUAAAAUGAUAUCAGUUCACAUGAUUUAACUAUUUUAAUAAUUUCUUAAAAUUGUAUUAAUUUUGAUAAUUAAUAAGUAAAAUUUUAACCUUUAGUAAAUAUUUUAUGAUUUUUUAUCAUUCGUAUCCUUUUAAAAUAUUAUGAAAUAAACGUUUGUGCAAGAAAAUACCUAAUUGAGCGGGCCUGAUUCAAGGACCAAUCAAUCUGGAUUGUAGGUCCACCAGGGGGUGGGCCUGAUACUGGGCCUGCAGAGUUGCUAUAGCGAAGAACUCCAGAGGUGGUGAGAACCUUGUAGGAGAAUCGUGUGGAAACCACAAUGUAAUAGUCCCGAGCAGGUUGAUCCGCAGUUACCAACACUGAAU